AUACGGAGGGUGCAAGCAUUAAUCGGAUUUAUUGGGCGUAAAGCGCACGUAGGCGGACUGGUCAGUUGGGGGUGAAAUCCCAGGGCUUAACCCUGGAACUGCCUUCAAUACUACCAGUCUUGAGACCGAGAGAGGUGAGUGGAAUUCCUAGUGUAGAGGUGAAAUUCGUAGAUAUUAGGAAGAACACCAGUGGCGAAGGCGGCUCACUGGCUCGGUACUGACGCUGAGGUGCGAAAGCGUGGGGAGCAAACAGGAUUAGAAACCCCGGUAGUCC
rnacentral:rRNA from 1 species